CCUACGGGAGGCAGCAGUGGGGAAUAUUGGGCAAUGGAGGAAACUCUGACCCAGCAACGCCGCGUGAAUGAUGAAGGUCUUCGGAAUGUAAAGUUCUUUUCUAAGGGAAGAAGAAAGUGACGGUACCUUAGGAAUAAGCCUCGGCUAACUACGUGCCAGCAGCCGCGGUAAUACGUAGGAGGCGAGCGUUAUCCGGAAUGACUGGGCGUAAAGGGUGCGUAGGUGGGUUGGCAAGUCAGUAGCGUAACUCCAAGGCUCAACCUUUGAACUACUACUAAAACUGUUGGACUUGAGUGCAGGAGAGGCAACCGGAAUUCCUAGUGUAGCGGUGGAAUGCGUAGAUAUUAGGAGGAACACCAGUGGCGAAGGCGGGUUGCUGGACUGUAACUGACGCUGAGGCACGAAAGCGUGGGGAGCAAACAGGAUUAGAUACCCCGGUAGUC
rnacentral:rRNA from 1 species